AUUGAACGCUGGCGGCAGGCCUAACACAUGCAAGUCGGGCGAGCGGCGGACGGGUGAGUAAUGUAUGGGGAUGUGCCUGAUGGAGGGGGAUAACUACUGGAAACGGUAGCAAAUACCGCAUACCAGCAGAUGCACCCAUAUGGGAUUAGCUUGUAGGUGAGGUAACGGCUCACCGAGGCGACGAUCCCUAGCUGGUCUGAGAGGAUGAUCAGCCACACGUGGACUGAGACACGGCCCAGACUCCUACGGGAGGCAGCAGUAGGGAAUCUUGGACAAUGGACGAAAGUCUGAUCGAGCAAUGCCGCGUGAGUGAAGAAGGUUUUCGGAUCGUAAAACUCUGUUGUUCGAGAAGCGGUACCUAACCAGAAAGCCACGGCUAACUACGUGCCAGCAGCCGCGGUAAUAC
rnacentral:rRNA from 1 species